UACGGAGGGUGCAAGCGUUGUCCGGAUUUAUUGGGUUUAAAGGGUGCGUAGGCGGCUGAUUAAGUCAGCGGUGAAAGACUUCGGCUUAACCGGAGCAGUGCCGUUGAUACUGGUUAGCUUGAGUGUUGGAGGGGUACAUGGAAUUGAUGGUGUAGCGGUGAAAUGCAUAGAUACCAUCAGGAACACCGAUAGCGAAGGCAUUGUACUGGCCAACAACUGACGCUGAUGCACGAAAGUGUGGGGAUCGAACAGG
rnacentral:rRNA from 1 species